rnacentral:rRNA from 1 species
AGUGAACGCUGGCGGUAGGCCUAACACAUGCAAGUCGAACGGCAGCACAGUAAGAGCUUGCUCUUACGGGUGGCGAGUGGCGGACGGGUGAGGAAUACAUCGGAAUCUACUUUUUCGUGGGGGAUAACGUAGGGAAACUUACGCUAAUACCGCAUACGACCUACGGGUGAAAGCAGGGGAUCUUCGGACCUUGCGCGAUUGAAUGAGCCGAUGUCGGAUUAGCUAGUUGGCGGGGUAGAGGCCCACCAAGGCGACGAUCCGUAGCUGGUCUGAGAGGAUGAUCAGCCACACUGGAACUGAGACACGGUCCAGACUCCUACGGGAGGCAGCAGUGGGGAAUAUUGGACAAUGGGCGCAAGCCUGAUCCAGCCCUACCGCGUGGGUGAAGAAGGCCUUCGGGUUGUAAAGCCCUUUUGUUGGGAAAGAAAAGCAGCAGGUUAAUACCCCGCUGUUCUGACGGUACCCAAAGAAUAAGCACCGGCUAACUUCGUG